AUGUGGCAUUUUCUUAUGUUGGAUGAGUCAACAAGCACAGGCCAUCAUUCGCAAAAAAAGAAAAGAAGCACAGGCCACACCAGCAGCCGACGUGCCAUAUAUGCCGCCCCUUGCCCCUUCCGCGCCUUAAGCCUAUUAAUAGGAGGAUUCCGUGCUUGUCUCUCACAGUUUUGCAGAUUUCAGCAGACGGCCAUAGCUUUGACCAUCCCCUUCUUCCUUCAACAUUUGACGGCCGGCAAACUCUUGUCCUCAGUGCAGCGAAGGCAGACGGCCAUGGACGGCGACAGCCCGGUGAUGACGGACAGCGAGCGGAGGGCGUACCGGUACGUGCAGGCGCCCAAGGUGCAUGGCCUGGGCGGCAUGAAGAACUCAUGGUCCAACGACUCUCUCUUCAGCCUCAGCUACGCCGGCGCGGGGGGCAGGGCCGUCGUCCACUCGUGCGUCUGCGCGCCAACCACGCACCCGGGCUCCUUCCGCUGCAAGCACCACCGCCAGAGCGCCGCCCACCUCGGCGCCGCCGGUCACGCGCAAGCGCAGCCCACGUCUGAGGCCGACGCCGACUCUAAGCGCAACGAGGUCCACGGAGAAAUGUCGACCGCGGAUGACGAGAAGGCGUCGUGA
rnacentral:rRNA from 1 species